GUUGGCGGGGUAACGGCCCACCAAGGCGACGAUCAGUAGCCGGACUGAGAGGUUGAACGGCCACAUUGGGACUGAGAUACGGCCCAGACUCCUACGGGAGGCAGCAGUGGGGAAUAUUGGGCAAUGGGCGCAAGCCUGACCCAGCAACGCCGCGUGAAGGAAGAAGGCUUUCGGGUUGUAAACUUCUUUUAUGAGGGACGAAGGAAGUGACGGUACCUCAUGAAUAAGCUCCGGCUAACUACGUGCCAGCAGCCGCGGUAAUACGUAGGGAGCGAGCGUUAUCCGGAAUCAUUGGGCGUAAAGCGCGCGUAGGCGGCCCGGCAGGCCGGGGGUCGAAGCGGGGGGCUCAACCCCCCGAAGCCCCCGGAACCUCCGCGGCUUGGGUCCGGUAGGGGAGGGUGGAACACCCGGUGUAGCGGUGGAAUGCGCAGAUAUCGGGUGGAACACCGGUGGCGAAGGCGGCCCUCUGGGCCGAGACCGACGCUGAGGCGCGAAAGCUGGGGGAGCGAACAGGAUUAGAUACCCUGGUAGUCCCAGCCGUAAACGAUGGACGCUAGGUGUGGGGGGACGAUCCCCCCGUGCCGCAGCCAACGCAUUAAGCGUCCCGCCUGGGGAGUACGGCCGCAAGGCUAAAACUCAAAGGAAUUGACGGGGGCCCGCACAAGCAGCGGAGCAUGUGGCUUAAUUCGAAGCAACGCGAAGAACCUUACCAGGGCUUGACAUAUGGGUGAAGCGGGGGAGACCCCGUGGCCGAGAGGAGCCCAUACAGGUGGUGCAUGGCUGUCGUCAGCUCGUGUCGUGAGAUGUUGGGUUAAGUCCCGCAACGAGCGCAACCCCCGCCGCGUGUUGCCAUCGGGUGAUGCCGGGAACCCACGCGGGACCGCCGCCGUCAAGGCGGAGGAGGGCGGGGACGACGUCAAGUCAUCAUGCCCCUUAUGCCCUGGGCUGCACACGUGCUACAAUGGCCGGUACAGAGGGAUGCCACCCCGCGAGGGGGAGCGGAUCCCGGAAAGCCGGCCCCAGUUCGGAUUGGGGGCUGCAACCCGCCCCCAUGAAGUCGGAGUUGCUAGUAAUCGCGGAUCAGCAUGCCGCGGUGAAUGCGUUCCCGGGCCUUGUACACACCGCCCGUCACACCACCCGAGUCGUCUGCACCCGAAGUCGCCGGCCCAACCGUCAAGGGGGGAGGCGCCGAAGGUGUGGAGGGUGAGGGGGGUGAAGUCGUAACAAGGUAGCCGUACCGGAAGGUGCGGCUG
rnacentral:rRNA from 1 species